UACGAGGGGGGCUAGUGUUGUCCGGAAUCACUGGGCGUAAAGAGCUCGUAGGCGGUUUGUCGCGUCUGCUGUGAAAACUCGGGGCUUAACCCCGGGCCUGCAGUGGGUACGGGCAGACUAGAGUGCGGUAGGGGAGACUGGAAUUCCUGGUGUAGCGGUGAAAUGCGCAGAUAUCAGGAGGAACACCGGUGGCGAAGGCGGGUCUCUGGGCCGUAACUGACGCUGAGGAGCGAAAGCGUGGGGAGCGAACAGG
rnacentral:rRNA from 1 species